ACUCCUACGGGAGGCAGCAGUGGGGAAUAUUGCACAAUGGGCGCAAGCCUGAUGCAGCAACGCCGCGUGGGGGAUGACGGCCUUCGGGUUGUAAACCUUUUUUGGUAGGGAAGAAGCCUUCGGGUGACGGUACCUGCAGAAAAAGGACCGGCUAACUACGUGCCAGCAGCCGCGGUAAUACGUAGGGUCCGAGCGUUGUCCGGAAUUAUUGGGCGUAAAGAGCUCGUAGGCGGUUCGUCGCGUCUGCCGUGAAAUCCUCAGGCUCAACCUGAGGCGUGCGGUGGGUACGGGCGGGCUAGAGUGCGGUAGGGGAGAAUGGAACUCCUGGUGUAGCGGUGGAAUGCGCAGAUAUCAGGAAGAACACCGAUGGCGAAGGCAGUUCUCUGGGCCGUAACUGACGCUGAGGAGCGAAAGCGUGGGGAGCGAACAGGAUUAGAUACCCUGGUAGUCCACGCCGUAAACGUUGGGCGCUAGAUGUGGGGACCAUUCCACGGUUUCCGUGUCGUAGCUAACGCAUUAAGCGCCCCGCCUGGGGAGUACGGCCGCAAGGCUAAAACUCAAAGGAAUUGACGG
rnacentral:rRNA from 1 species